ACAGAUGCUUUUACAGCUCGCAUUGGUGGGAAGAUCUGGCACAAAUGAAGUAUCUAUAAGGAGCAGCAGAGUCAAGGUGGUGAUCCUGUGGAAGAAUAACUGAAACCUGAUAUACUUGACAGCAGAAAAUAUAAAGCAAAUCGAAAAGGAGAGAGUGUGGAGAUAAAUAAGGAAAUGAAAGAACUGAUGAAGUCACUUGGAUUAAAAAACCUGGGAGAAGACACCAAAUGAGCUACACUGUUUUGGACUCCCCAACACAACCCAGCCACCGGCUGAAUGCCACCAAAUUACCUUCUAGUUAAAGCUUUAUGGAGCAAACGAAUCACCUAUUCAAUAUCUGCUUGAAUUUCUGACUCAAAAUAUAUCAGGUAUGUACUGUGUGACUUAAAUAUUGAGUUUAUUUUUAUCAAGUACCUGUCAAGAAAGAAAGUCAAUUCUGAAACAGCAAAAGCUCAAAGUUCUACAGAUGGCUUUCAAAGGAAUUUGAAUUAGACAUCAUUUGAUGUUGCAAAAAACAAUGAUAUCUUUUAUAGCUCUAAACAUCAGUUUUUAAAUCAGAGAU
rnacentral:lncRNA from 1 species